AGUACUGGCAGGGUCCUGACAUUGGUGUUUACAGCACGUAGUGCACGUCGCAAUGUGAAUGGAGAUCUGUAAGCGGCCCGAGGGAAAAUGGCAGCCGUGUUGAGUCUUGUCCACUUUCAGAAUCUAGGUUUCAGCAUUUGCGGCUCGAGCUCUCCGAGAGAAUUGCCGAUGUCAGGAAAUUUUGGAGACAAAAUGAAAAGUUCUGGAUGCUACAAAAAUGGUUAACUGCAUUAAACAAAGAUCAGUUCACUUGAGAAUGUUUUUUUUAAAAAAAACUGUGUGGAAACCUGGAUAAAGAGCACACCAAUUUCUUGCUACAUUCAGAAAUCUAGUGGCUUAGAGAAAGAGUUCUUCACAGGAUGUUUGAGCUGAAAGGUGAAUUGCAAGAAAAUAGUAGAUGGAAAUGAUUACAUUACCCUGGAGACUCUUGGCUUCAACUCUGAAAUUUACACGGAAAGUAGGAGAAGAAUUUGGUUAAAAGCUAAAAAUAUUAGAAAAUUAUUGUUAGAGACAGUAUAUAGGAACAACUAUUUAUACAUGAAACACUGCUUUCUGUGCCCUAGCCAAGUUCCAGUAACCUAUUACCCUUGCACGCACAGACAUUGGCUGCUGGUAUGUUGAUGUGUUAUAAAUUCAACAAGGUCCACCUCCCCUUUUGGUCUCUUCAAUCUUUUCUACUUCUAUCAUCUAACAAUUGUGACCAUUUUAAUUGUUAUACCAUAUGGAUAAGUUCUAUGCUCCUAGUUUAACUCAACUCUAACUCUCCAUCUCCUUUAAAACUUUUACAAAAAGAACCACUCUAGAUUUUGGUAGGUUUGUUCAAGUCUCUCUAUAGUUUGGUGUCAAAUAUUGUUCGAUAACAAACCACAAAGAGCAACAUAAGUGGGAUCAUCAAAAUCCAGAGUUUUGUUCUGCACUGCCACAGAACCAUUGCGAUGGAUACAGUUUGUCAAGUAUUCUUGCUUUUGAAUAUGAUCUGCAUCAGGUGAGAUAUCCCAAAAGCAUUGUGUUGCCUGCUGACACAUUCUACCCAAGCUCAUUUAAAUACAGCCAUUUUGGGAGCUGCUUUACUGCAACCUGUUCCCACAAUUGGGAUCAGCACCAUUAACCAAACAAGGAUAUAAAAUAACUUUAUAAUGAAAUAUAUAUCACUGAAUUACAUCUCCACAACAGCGGUUCAAUGGGUUGAAACAUUGUAUGUAAUUUUGAAACCUUAGAUUUAAAUUUUGAUUGUCUCCUCUUUGUUCAUUGUGGACAAUCUGAAAAUAGUUUGAAUCUGCCAGUUUAGUUCAGUGAGUGGGCAAAAAUUUGGCUGCAGAUGAGUGAUUUUGUUCAUAACAACAUGCAUAAGCAAUCAAGGAAUAUUUAGUUCUCAGCAGGUUCAUGAAUGUCUUUAUUUGUUUGUCAAGUGUGCAUUGUGCAUUAAUUGAACAGAUAAAGAACAAGUGAGCUUGAGGUAAACAUUAGCAAUGAUACUAAUGGUAGUAAAGAUACCACUGCUUUUCCAAAGAGAAAAUGUUUCUCUUUUAAUAACGUGGGAGUUAUGGGGAAAAUGCUGUGAGGAAACCUGCAGUUUGCAAGAUGAGUAAAUUCAGGAAGAUGAAUGUGUUAUGUGAGAAAGUUAGAAAGUAGCUAAUUUUAUUUUUCCGAAGUGGGAAAAGAUGGAUUGCUAGGUAAGUAACACACACAAAAAGCUGGAGGAACUCAGCAGGCCAGGCAGCAUCUGUGGAAAAGAAUAAACAGUUGCUGUUUCAGGCCAGGACCCUUCAUCAGGAUUAAAUGCAUACAGUUUUCUUCUUUAGGAUAUUGAAUAUUGCUUUCUUAUUGACAUUUAUUUCUCAGGGCACCUAAGAAUGAAUUUGAUAUUGCUGGAGCUUGGAGGAUCUAGGUUUAGUAAGCAAAAAUACAGGUGGUUCAAGGUGGAUGUAAGAUCAGUUUCAAGAUCUAACAUUGCCUCAGUUUAGUAACUGAAGGAGCAUUAGGCACGUGAUAUUCCCCUGCCAGAAGAGGAAGAUCUCUCAUGCUCUCCACAACAACGUGUGUGUGUGUGUGUGUGUGGGCAUUUGUGGUUAGGAAUAUCAAAGCUGCAGGAUCGUUGUUUUUCAAUUUUUUGCGAGAAGUGGCUGACCAGAUGUGGCAAAGUGAAUGCUAUUGGUGAUUCACAGCCCCCUCUGUUUUACUGUUGGUACUUCAUUGAUUCUCAAACUAACAGGCUUCCAAAACACCAAAUACUUCCUUCCCUUUAUCAACUUCCCACGUCUAUACGCAGCAGUUUCCCCCCAUGCUUAGUAAGCUCAGUGUUCAGACUAUUUUUUGAUGAAUUCCUCCAU